rnacentral:tRNA from 1 species
AAUUUUAUAGUUUAUUAUUAGAAUAUUAAAUUGCAAAUUUAAUGGAAACUUAUGUUUAAAAUUU